GACGAACGCUGGCGGCGUGCCUAAUACAUGCAAGUUGAGCGCUGAAGGUUGGUACUUGUACCAACUGGAUGAGCAGCGAACGGGUGAGUAACGCGUGGGGAAUCUGCCUUUGAGCGGGGGACAACAUUUGGAAACGAAUGCUAAUACCGCAUAAAAACUUUAAACACAAGUUUUAAGUUUGAAAGAUGCAAUUGCAUCACUCAAAGAUGAUCCCGCGUUGUAUUAGCUAGUUGGUGAGGUAAAGGCUCACCAAGGCGAUGAUACAUAGCCGACCUGAGAGGGUGAUCGGCAAAAUUGGAACUGAGAAAAGGCCCAAAAUCCUAAGGGAGGCAGCAGGAGGGAAUUUUGGGAAAGGGGAGAAAGUCUGACCGAGAAACGCCGGGGGAGUGAAGAAGGUUUUCGGAUCGUAAAACUCUGUGGGGAGGGAAGAACGGUGGGGGAAGGGAAAAGCUAAAAAAGGGAGGGAAACAACCAGAAAAGGGACGGAAAACUACGG
rnacentral:rRNA from 1 species